rnacentral:rRNA from 1 species
UACGAAGGGGGCUAGCGUUGCUCGGAAUUACUGGGCGUAAAGCGCACGUAGGCGGUCUUUUAAGUCGGGGGUGAAAUCCUGGAGCUCAACUCCAGAACUGCCUUCGAUACUGGAAGACUCGAGUCCGGGAGAGGUGAGUGGAACUGCGAGUGUAGAGGUGAAAUUCGUAGAUAUUCGCAAGAACACCAGUGGCGAAGGCGGCUCACUGGCCCGUAACUGACGCUCAUGCACGACAGCGUGGGGAUCAAACAGG